AGAUCAAUUUGUUGGUCGUGCCUCGGUACGUACUGGCAUUAUUGGUUUCUACCUUCUGAAGAACCUUGAUGUCAUUAAUUUGGUGUCUUGGGAGUCAGGACUGUUACUUUGAAAAAAUUAGAGUGUUUAAAGCAGGCAUACGCUUGAAUACAUUAGCAUGGAAUAAUGAAAUAGGACGUUUGAUUCUAUUUUGUUGGUUUCUAGGAUCGACGUAAUGAUUAAUAGGGAUAGUUGGGC
rnacentral:rRNA from 1 species